GGGGGGACUGCGGAGGGAUCAUUACCGAGUUUACAACUCCCAAACCCCUGUGAACAUACCAUUUGUUGCCUCGGCGGUGCCUGCUUCGGCAGCCCGCCAGAGGACCCAAACCCUUGAUUUUAUACAGUAUCUUCUGAGUAAAUGAUUAAAUAAAUCAAAACUUUCAACAACGGAUCUCUUGGUUCUGGCAUCGAUGAAGAACGCAGCGAAAUGCGAUAAGUAAUGUGAAUUGCAGAAUUCAGUGAAUCAUCGAAUCUUUGAACGCACAUUGCGCCCGCCAGUAUUCUGGCGGGCAUGCCUGUUCGAGCGUCAUUUCAACCCUCAAGCCCCCGGGCUUGGUGUUGGAGAUCGGCGUGCCCUCCGGGGCGCGCCGGCUCCCAAAUAUAGUGGCGGUCUCGCUGUAGCUUCCUCUGCGUAGUAGCACACCUCGCACUGGAAAACAGCGUGGCCACGCCGUUAAACCCCCCACUUCUGAAAGGUUGACCUCGGAUCAGGUAGGAAUACCCGCUGAACUUAAGCAUAUCAUAAGG
rnacentral:rRNA from 1 species